CGGUGGAGUAUGUGGUUUAAUUCGAUGCAACGCGAAGAACCUUACCUGGUCUUGACAUCCCGGAGACCCUUAGGAAACUAGGGGUGCUUCCAUCUGGAAGAAUCUGGAGACAGGUGCUGCAUGGCUGUCGUCAGCUCGUGUCGUGAGAUGUUGGGUUAAGUCCCGCAACGAGCGCAACCCUUGCCUUUAGUUGCCAGCAGUUCGGCUGGGCACUCUAAAGGGACUGCCGGUGUUAAACCGGAGGAAGGUGGGGAUGACGUCAAGUCCUCAUGGCCUUUAUGACCAGGGCUACACACGUACUACAAUGGCCGAUACAAAGGGCAGCGACACUGCGAGGUGAAGCCAAAUCCCGUAAAAUCGGUCUCAGUCCGGAUUGGAGUCUGCAACUCGACUCCAUGAAGUUGGAAUCGCUAGUAAUCGCGGAUCAGCACGCCGCGGUGAAUACCGUUCCCGGGCCUU
rnacentral:rRNA from 1 species